rnacentral:lncRNA from 1 species
ACCUACAGUCUAGAUUCUAGACUCUUUCUAGGGCUCGCUUCACCUGCCUAUAAUACCUUCUCCGUUCCUGGUUUGCGGUUCUAGGUCAAUGUGAUCUCUUUCCUCCUACUCCAGGCCUUGGUUUCCAUCAGUUCGCUCUCCUGUUUCUAUCUAAUCUCUGUUCUUGCCUCUCUGUAUCUUCUCCCAGUUUCCAGGCAGCCAGGAUAAUUACUAAACUUCUAAUUAGCCCCUGCCCUAACAAGGGUGGGUCUAGCAAGAAAGGCAGCAAUUUUGAAAGUGUCUUGGGGAUAGGUGGGGGGAGAACCUAUAUGUUGGGGCCUAGUAUAAACCAGGCACAAAGACAGACACAUGACACACUUUAUCUCAUUUCGUUCUUUCAGUUUUGCAAGGUAGGUGUUUUUAGAGACAAGGAGAGUGAGAGGCUCAGAGAGGUUGGGUAACUUGCACAAGAGCACCCAGCUGGCGAAUGGUAGCUGUCUGACUCCAAAAUCUCAGUUCUUACACCUCACAUUCUGGCACAGGGGCUAAAGCAAGGCUGCUGAAGGAUAGCUGCUUGAGAAUCACCCCACCCGGACCUGGAGCCUCCCCUCUUUCUGACCCUCACCCCCAGCCUUGAGGAGAGUAGGGGAUUGACUAGAGAUGGAGGAAGACCUGAGAACCCAGCUGGAAGUGGGAAGGUGGGAGAGGGGCUGCACUGUGUAGAAGAAACUCCUUUGUUGGCAGAGAGGGAAGGAGGGAUACUCAGAAGAGCUGAACCCCUUUCCUGGGGAAGAGAGAGGGGAGUAGGGGGAGAGAAGUGUAGCCGGAUUGCCUGCCAGGGUCCUGCUGUCCACCAGGAACUUGGGGAUAUGACCCCUUCCCCCCAACUUCCUCAGCCUGCAGGACCAGUCUGAGUGUAUCUGGGAUGGGUCACUAUGGCAAAAUGGGGUCCUCACCCAGAGACGUAAGAAAAGGUAAUGAGAGGGAGUUCAGAAAAAUGGGGACUAAAGGACCUCAGCCUUUGGAAGUGUCACUAAAGCUCUCUAGCCCUCAGGAUAGGUGUGGGAACAAGACACAGUGACCUCCCCGUUCCUGUCUUUUGGCCUUCCUCCAGCCUUUGAAUCCCCAGCACAAGAAGCCCCCUCCAAGAAGCCUUUCCUGAUUCCCUCAGGCCCAGCUCAGAAGCACUCAAGCCCGGAUGUCUAGGUUGUAAAAAAUAAAGGUUGACAUCAGUUCAGCCCCCUAAAGGGUCAAACAGCUUUUCUACAUCUUUUCUCCUCUCUGGAUCUUCCUCAACAACAGGAGAUAGAUGUGGUGAUCAGCUCCCUUUUCCAAACUGGGGUUCAGACGGGUGCAGGGCCUCGCCAAAGGCUCCCAGGGAGGCAGCAGCAGAGCUGAGAUCCAGCUCUCUUUACGACUC